GACGUAGGUGGCGAACGUUAUCCGGAUUUAUUGGGCGUAAAGAGCUCGUAGGCGGUUUGUUGCGUCGGCUGUGAAAUCCCGAGGCUCAACCUCGGGUCUGCAGUCGAUACGAGCAAACUAGAGUGUUGCAGGGGAGACUGGAAUUCCUGGUGUAGCGGUGAAAUGCGCAGAUAUCAGGAGGAACACCGGUGGCGAAGGCGGGUCUCUGGGCAGCAACUGACGCUGAGGAGCGAAAGCGUGGGGAGCGAACAGG
rnacentral:rRNA from 1 species